CCUACGGGAGGCAGCAGUGAGGAAUAUUGGUCAAUGGGCGCGAGCCUGAACCAGCCACGUAGCGUGAAGGAUGACUGCCCUCCGGGUUGUAAACUUCUUUUAUAAAGGAAUAAAGUGAGGCACGUGUGCCUUUUUGUCUGUACUUUAUGAAUAAGGAUCGGCUAACUCCGUUCCAGCAGCCGCGGUAAUACGGUGGAUACGAGCGUUAUCCGGAUUUAUUGGGUUUAAGGGGAGCGUAGGUGGGUUGGUAAGUCAGUUGUGAAAGUUUGCGGCUCAACCGUAAAAUUGCAAUGGAUACUGGCAGUCGUGAGUGCAGUUGAGGAAGGCGGAAUUCGUGGUGUAGCGGUGAAAUGCUUAGAGAUCACGAAGAACUCCGAUUGCGAAGGCAGCUUACUAAGCUGCCACUGACAUUGAUGCGCGAAAGUGUGGGGAUCAAACAGGAUUAGAUACCCGUGUAGUC
rnacentral:rRNA from 1 species